GCUUAUAAAUACCCAGCUAGCAGAGCACCAUUUAUACAUCUUAUAGAAAACGAGCCAUACGAGUUUCUCCUGAUGGCUGUUAUAAUUUCUUUUCCAAGUUUUUUUCAUUGUUAUCAUAAAAACAAGAGAGAGAAAGAAGCUGGCGAGGAGCAGGGCCAUGCUAGAAAUAUAUUUGCACUGAAGAUCAUAAAAGAUCAGGGGAGGAGUGUAUAAGGAUCUGUGUGGAACACUCAUUUGAGCAAGAAUCAAUUAGUUAUUUGUCUUGUGCGGAGGUGGUGAAGGUUAUAUGGCUAAUUAGCUUCGGCCUCGGACCUUAGCUGGAAGGUCUACCUAUAUACGGGUAGCUUCUUGCUAUUACUGCACAAGUUAAAUGCUGUUCCCAACAAUGUCUCUUAUCCUCAAAGGGUUCGAUUGUCUUACUCGAAAUAUUACAUUACUCAAGAUAUUAUUUUCUUUUCUUUUUUUGGUGAUAAAGAUUCUGAAGGUAAACAAGUUACUUCCAAACCAUGCCAGCGGUUUAGGUUUUCACUCAGAAAUUCUUCGCUGACAUGAUUAGCCUGUCUUCUGUAUAUUUCCUUUUUCUUUCUAAAAGUUUGAAUAAGAAAUUCAUUGCUUCAAUAAA